AUACGGAGGGUCCAAGCGUUAUCCGGAAUCAUUGGGUUUAAAGGGUCCGCAGGCGGUCAAUUAAGUCAGAGGUGGAAGCCCAUCGCUCAACGAUGGAACUGCCUUUGAUACUGGUUGACUUGAGUUAUACGGAAGUAGAUAGAAUAAGUAGUGUAGCGGUGAAAUGCAUAGAUAUUACUUAGAAUACCGAUUGCGAAGGCAGUCUACUACGUAUAUACUGACGCUGAGGGACGAAAGCGUGGGGAGCGAACAGGAUUAGAUACCCUAGUAGUCC
rnacentral:rRNA from 1 species